GGAGAGAUGGCCGAGUGGCUGAAGGCGCUCCCCUGCUAAGGGAGUAUGCUGCCAAAAGCGGCAUCGAGGGUUCGAAUCCCUCUCUCUCCGCCA
rnacentral:tRNA from 1 species